rnacentral:tRNA from 1 species
GGCGCUGUGGCGUAGAGGUUAAAGCCACUGCCUGCAGUGCUGGCAUCCCAUAUGGGCACUGGUUCGAGUCCAGACUGCUCCA